UAAAGUGAAAUUAAUCUCUGGAGUUUUAGUAACAAUAUUUGAAAUAUCUUUCUUUUUAUUAUUACUUCCCCAGAAAAUAUUGUAGUGUCAAUUUAUUGAGGGCUUUGACAUCUUCAAGGAAAGUUCUUGUAAAAAUGCAGCUUCUUCUUGCUUCUGAGGAAAGCUCCAGAGGCUUUGUCUAGACAAAAGCAAAAGAUUUGCGCUGUGAAGGGAGAGAUUCAAAGGACUGAAGUUGACACUAAACACCUACAGAGUGCAGCUGAUCAACACUGCGAGGACCUGAAAACUACCUACAAAGAAUCUGAAACCUCGACACCUGAAAAUAGGAGUCUUCUGAGAAAUGGGAACCCAAAACUGAAGGCUACCUAAACCAAGAGUCCCUUUUCCACAGCUCAGAAUCUCUUCAGCUACUUCAGACCUUUUGCCCUGGCAAGUCCAUUAGGAAGAAACACCAAGCAUAUGUGAGAGUCUCUUGCAGGGUCACCAUAACUGGAAACUGAUUUCAUUAAU
rnacentral:lncRNA from 1 species